ACGCUGGCGGCGUGCUAAUACAUGCAAGUCAACUUGACUUUAGAUAGCAAUAUCGAAAAGUAGGGUGGCGCACGGGUGCGUAACGCGUAGGUAAUCUGCCCUGAGGUCUGACAUAACCCGUCGAAAGGCGGGCUAACAUCAGAUGAUAUAUAAUCACGACAUCGUGGAAAUAUCAAAUCUUCGGAGCCUUGGGAUGAGCCUGCGUCUGAUUAGGUAGUUGGCGGAGUAAUAGCCCACCAAGCCUACGAUCAGUAGCUGGUCUGAGAGGAUGAUCAGCCACACUGGAACUGAGACACGGUCCAGACUCCUACGGGAGGCAGCAGUAAGGAAUAUUGCUCAAUGGGGGGAAACCCUGAAGCAGCAACGCCGCGUGAAGGAUGAAAUACUUUUGUAUGUAAACUUCUGUAAGAUGGGAAAAAUAUUCUCCUCGGGAGAAUUGAUUGUACCAUCAGAGUAAGCCCCGGCUAACUAGGUG
rnacentral:rRNA from 1 species